rnacentral:rRNA from 1 species
AUGUAGCGUACACGGUGGAUGCCCUGGCAGUCAGAGGCGAUGAAGGACGUGCUAAUCUGCGAUAAGCGUCGGUGAGGUGAUAUGAACCGUUAUAACCGGCGAUUUCCGAAUGGGGAAACCCAGUGUGAUUCGUCACACUAUCAUUAACUGAAUCCAUAGGUUAAUGAGGCGAACCGGGGGAACUGAAACAUCUAAGUACCCCGAGGAAAAGAAAUCAACCGAGAUUCCCCCAGUAGCGGCGAGCGAACGGGGAG